CCUACGGGAGGCAGCAGUGAGGAAUAUUGGUCAAUGGUCGGGAGACUGAACCAGCCAAGCCGCGUGAGGGAGGAAGGUACAGAGUAUCGUAAACCUCUUUUGUCAGGGAACAAAGGCGGGGACGUGUCCCCGGAUGAGUGUACCUGAAGAAAAAGCAUCGGCUAACUCCGUGCCAGCAGCCGCGGUAAUACGGAGGAUGCGAGCGUUAUCCGGAUUUAUUGGGUUUAAGGGGUGCGCAGGGGGUGUGUUAAGUCAGCGGUAAAAGCCCGGGGCGAAACCCAGGCCCGCCGUUGAAACUGGCAGUCUCGAGUUGGAGAGAGGUAUGCGGAAUGCGCGGUGUAGCGGUGAAAUGCAUAGAGAUCGCGCAGAACACCGAUUGCGAAGGCAGCAUGCCGGCUCCACACUGACGCUGAGGCACGAAAGCGUGGGUAUCGAACAGGAUUAGAUACCCCUGUAGUC
rnacentral:rRNA from 1 species